rnacentral:rRNA from 1 species
GACGAACGCUGGCGGCGUGCUUAACACAUGCAAGUCGAACGGAAAGGCCCUGCUUUUGUGGGGUGCUCGAGUGGCGAACGGGUGAGUAGCACGCGAGUAACCUGCCCUUGACUUUGGGAUAACUUCAGGAAACUGGGGCUAAUACCGGCUAGGAGCUCCUGCUGCAUGGUGGGGGUUGGAAAGUUUCGGCGGUUGGGGAUGGACUCGCGGCUUAUCAGCUUGUUGGUGGGGUAGUGGAUUACCAAGGGUUGGACGGGUAGCCGGCCUGGGAGGGUGACCGGCCACAUUGGGACUGAGAUACGGCCCAGACUCCUACGGGAGGCAGCAGUGGGGAAUAUUGCACAAUGGGCGGAAGCCUGAUGCAGCAACGCCGCGUGCGGGAUGACGGCCUUCGGGUUGUAAACCGCUUUCGCCUGUGACGAAGCGUGAGUGACGGUAAUGGGUAAAGAAGCACCGGCUAACUACGUGCCAGCCGCCGCCGUAAAAC